AUUGAACGCUGGCGGCAGGCCUAACACAUGCAAGUCGGACGAGUGGCGGACGGGUGAGUAAUGUAUGGGGAACUGCCUGAUGGAGGGGGAUAACUACUGGAAACGGUAGCUAAUACCGCAUACCAUCCGAUGUACCCACAUGGGAUUAGCUAGUAGGUGUGGUAAAGGCUCACCUAGGCGACGAUCCCUAGCUGGUCUGAGAGGAUGACCAGCCACACUGGGACUGAGACACGGCCCAGACGCCUACGUGAGGCAGCAGUGGGGAAUAUUGUACAAUGGGCGCAAGCCUGAUGCAGCAAUGCCGCGUGUAUGAAGAAGGCCUUCGGGUUGUAAAGUACUUUCAGCGGGGAAGCGUUACCCACAGAGGAAGCACCGGCUAACUCCGUGCCAGCAGCCGCGGUAAUAC
rnacentral:rRNA from 1 species